UGGCGACCAGAGCAAGUGGGUACCACCUGAUCCCAUCCCGAACUCAGAAGUGAAACCAUUUAGCGCCUAUGAUAGUGUGGU
rnacentral:rRNA from 1 species